UACGUAGGGUGGCGAGCGUUAAUCGGAAUUACUGGGCGUAAAGCGUGCGCAGGCGGUUCGUUGUGUCGGCGGUGAAAGCCCCGGGCUCAACCUGGGAAUGGCCGUUGAAACUGGCGAACUGGAGUGUGGCAGAGGGGGUGGAAUUCCGCGUGGUAGCAGGUGAAAUGCGUAGAGAUGCGGAGGAACACCGAUGGCGAAGGCAGCCCCCUGGGCGUGACACUGACGCUCAGGCACGAAAGCGUGGGGAGCAAACAGGG
rnacentral:rRNA from 1 species